rnacentral:rRNA from 1 species
UACAGAGGGGGCAAGCGUUAUUCGGAAUUAUUGGGCGUAAAGGGCGCGUAGGCGGCUUUGCAAGUGGCGGGUGAAAUCCCUCGGCUUAACCGAGGAACUGCCUGUCAAACUGCAUGGCUUGAGACCAGGAGAGGUGAGUGGAAUUCCCAGUGUAGCGGUGAAAUGCGUAGAUAUUGGGAGGAACACCAGUGGCGAAGGCGGCUCACUGGACCGGAACUGACGCUGAGGCGCGAAAGCUAGGGGAGCAAAGCGGG